CUAGGUGAGGGGCGGGACCGACCAGAUCCUCAUGCGGCUUCAGUGAGUGCUUGCUUUGUUCCCGCUGAGAGGAAGUCGGCGCUGCCUCCGGAGGAGGAUUGAGGCCAGUGCGAUUUGCCGUGCUUUCUUCACCUUAGGCAUAGAACUGCCAGCAUCUUCACUGGAUGCUGAAAUGCAAAUGAAGAUGUUGAACUCUGUAAUAGCAGAUGCAGAGCUGUGGUUCCCCCAGCUUCUCUUCAAAGCUUUCUGGGUAACCUCUUCUCUGGGAGCCAGCCUGAGGACUCCUUCCUUUGUGUUGUCUCCUUUGUGCGGGAACAGAAGCAAUUAAAGCCUUGCCUGGAACUCUC